AUGUAUGAGACGUUUGGGCUGGCUUUGUAUCGCUCUGGUAAGUAUGAGGUUGAGGGUGUUGAGUGGGGCAUCAGCUACCACGUGCGGCACGUUGAAGCUGAGAAGCGAGAGAAGUGGUACGGCAAAAUGCAUGUGGUCAGUGUCCAUGAUGGCGGUGCUAGGUACACAUGCGAAUGUGGGCUCUUCGAGCACAUGGGGAUGCUUUGUUGCCAUGCUAUCAAGGUUUUAAUUCAUUUGGGAGUGAGAAAGAUACCCAGAUUCCAUGUCCUGAAGAGGUGGACAGUAGAUGCCCGCGACUGUUUGCUACUUCACCUUCUCCAUUACCAAAAAGAUCAAGGGCCUCCGCGGUUAUCCUCCUAA
rnacentral:rRNA from 1 species